UACGAAGGGGGCUAGCGUUGCUCGGAAUGACUGGGCGUAAAGGGCGCGUAGGCGGAUAGCUUUGUCGGACGUGAAAUUCCAGGGCUCAACCUUGGGUGGUCGUUCGCGACGGGUUGUCUAGAGUUUGGCAGAGGGUCGUGGAAUUCCCAGUGUAGAGGUGAAAUUCGUAGAUAUUGGGAAGAACACCGGUGGCGAAGGCGGCGACCUGGUCCUUGACUGACGCUGAGGCGCGAAAGCGUGGGGAGCAAACAG
rnacentral:rRNA from 1 species